GUAAUUCAAAGUAGCAUCACGACACUUGGGUGCACCUACUCCUUGCCCGCUCCAUGGAAAAAGCGCUCUCGGAGGCUGAGAGUGGUGAGGACUGCGACCAAAUUAUUUUCGUUUGCGUCGCACGCGCGCUUCGCAGCUCAUUCGCUUGACUUAUUGUAGGCACGAACAAUAGUGCCCGUCCGGCUGCUGGUGUUUAGUUACAGUUUUGAACGUGUUCAAGUGCGCAAGUUUUUCGCCAAAGAUUUGCAUACAAAGAGCAAUCCCUGUUUUCAAGUAAAUCGAAUAAUUAUUCACAGUGGUCAAAAUGGCGGACGGAGGCAAAUGUUUAUUCAUGAUAAUUUGGCUGAUAAUACUGAUAUUCAUCGGUUUCUUGGUGGCCGGCUUCUGCGCUCCAUGGUACAUUCUGGCACAUUGCCUCACGGCUUGUAUUAGCGAGCUACAGGGCAUCGCCGACUUGCUGCUCAAGGGCGUGCAAUUCCCACACUACUGUGCCACUAGAAUGAUGAACGGAGACGCGCUGUUCUAAAUUCAGCCUAAAUCAAUCCUAAUGUGUUUCAUAAAUUGAGUUUUUAUAAUUUUAUAUUACAUACUUGAAUAUUUCGAGAUGGUAAUCUCCAAAUUAUCAAGUGAUAACAUUAAUAUUAAGUGCAAAGUGUACUAAUGUGAAAUAAUCGAAGACAAUUAUUAAAUCAUUUCUAAAUACACUCAAAA